UUAGUCUGGGAAAUGCAGAGGUGGGGAAGAGCUGCAUUAUUAAACGAUACUGUGAGAAGCGGUUUGUGCCCAAGUAUCUCGCCACUAUUGGGAUAGAUUAUGGUGUAACCAAGGUCCAGGUUCGAGACAGGGAGAUAAAAGUAAACAUUUUUGAUAUGGC